ensembl:lncRNA
AGCCAGCCUUCCUGCCUACUUAUUCCGUUCUUCCAGUUUAGUUAGUGUUUUUCUGUUCUGCUUCUUACCAGCAAUAAAGCUGUGUGUUUUGAAUUACUUCCGCCUCAGUGAGUCCUGCAUUUUGGGUCCUCCCUUCCUGCCUGCCCACACUCAGACAUGACAAAUGAAGAGAGAGGGAGGACAAAAACAUUUGAAGGCUGUAAAACAAAUAAAUUCAGAACAAGUGAUGAAGAGUAAACCACUGAUGAGGAAGUGAGCAGGAAGUUGAAGCUGUGUUCAUGUCUGAGACUGUCUCAUUUGUCAAUGUGAGAGCAGAGAGUAGAGACUGACAGACAGAGAAGUACGAUGGCUGCAGUCAUGUGGAUUCAAAUGUCUUCUUUCCUGCUGCUGAUGCUUCAGAUUACAGAAACAACAGGACAGACUUUGUCCUCCUUCAGAGCUGCCAGAGCUGGACAUGACAUCACUUUGUCUUGUGAAAAUGUGAUAGAUGGUCAACAUGACUGCAGCUAUACUACCUGGGAAUUCACUGAUUCAAGACAGACACCAGCAGUAGAGCUGGUUGUUCAUGGACAGAUUAAAGAAAAUGCUAAAGCUGAAUACACCAGACUGAGUGUUACAGCGAACUGUUCUCUGCUUAUAAAGAAGGUACAAGCUGAGGAUGUUGGUCGUUACACCUGCACACAGUACAAAACAAGAGGAGGACAAAAAGAAUGUUCAGACUAUAUGAUUAAUCUGUCUGUUAUUAACAUGACUGAACAUGAGAACAACAAUAAAGUCAUUGUGAACUGCUCUGUGCUGACACAUGAACACUAUAGACACACAGUGGAGUGGCUGCAUGAGGGUAAAAAGAAAAUAUCAGACGUGGAGAUCAAACCAGGUUUCUGCUCUGUGACUGUGACAUUUAAAAGAUCUCACCGUGAUCAGAAGUCACAGUUUUAUAAUUCAUUGAAGUGCAAAGUGACAGAUAAACACACUAAAGAAGAACAACUGUUUCUCUUCAAACUCAAGUCCUCAGGUGAGAAAACAGGUGAGAUUAUGUUCAAAUCGCUUCACAGUGAUGAGCAGAUGUGUUUAACUCACAUGAUUAUUAAUUAUAGCAGCGCUCUACAUUAUCUGUUUUUGUAAAUGUAGUUUGCAGGUUUUUUUCUUUGAAUACUUUUGUUUUAUUUUGUUAUUUCAUUUCUUUCUUUAGGUGAAAACACAAAAUCAACGACUGCAAAAUUUACCUCAACAACAAGAACAACAACAGCAAUGAGAUCAACAACAACAAUGAGAUCAACAACAACAAUGAGAUCAACAACAACAAUGAGAUCAACAACAACAAUGAGAUCAACAACAACAAUGAGAACAACAACAACAACAACAACAAUGAGAUCAACAACAACAAUGAGAACAACAACAACAACAAUGAGAACAACAAAAUCUUCUCUAGAAUCAAAAAAAUCCUCACAAGGUUUGUUAUUAUGGCUCAUUAUCCUUCCCGUUGGUUUAUCAGCACUCUUAAUAAUUGUUGUGGUCAUAAGAUGGAAGAAACAUAAAGGAAAAGAAGGGCAGCUGGCCGGCAACACUGGACUGAGCUUAAACGCUGCAGAGACUCAGUCUGGACCAGGAACCAAUCAAACCAGGGCUGGAGCUGAUGAUGGUGUUUCCUACGUCUCCAUCAGCUUGCCCAAGAGGACCAGGAGUAAAACCCGGUCCCGUGGUCAUGAUGAAGGUGACACUGUGACCUACAGCACAGUGAAAGCUGUUUCCUCUUCUGCUGGAGAUGAUCCCAACCACCUCUAUUCCACCAUCAAUGAUGUAAAGAAGUAGGAUGAUGCUCAUGAAAAGAGAUAUGGUAGAUGCUGUUUCACUUUUUAGAUGAGAGAGUGAAUGUGAAAAGUCAUGGGUUAUUUUUUUUUGUCUUACGUAUUGGUUGUUUUGAACUAAUAACAUAAUAUUGUUUUGGUAAAUGGACUUAUAUAACACUUUUAUAUAGCUACUCUUUCAGAGCACUCAAAGUGCUUUAUACAACAAAUUCAUUCACCCAAGCAGUUAAGUGCUCCCUAUCUAACAUUAAUACUCAUUCACACUCCGAUGGAAGCAUCGGAGAGCAACAUGGGGUUAGUAUCUUGCCCAAGAAUAUUUGGCAUGCAGACUGGAGCAGACUGGGAUCAAACCACCACCCUUCUGGUUAGUAGCUGACCUGCUCUAACACCUGAGCUACAGACACCAAACUGAAAAUCAUUUAUGUUUCAAAAACAGACAUGUUACCACACAUAUAUAUUUCUGUUUUGACCUAAACUGUUUCUGCCAGAGGGGUAUGUGUUGACGUUUUAUUCCAAGAAACCUUUUCUGUUUGCUGCUGCUCAUAAAAGUUUAGCUGAUAGCGUCCUAUCACAGUACAUGACAUCAUUACUGUCUAAGGCGCAGCUUCAAAUGCAUCCUGAACAGUGCGGACAAAAAUUAGAAAUAAGAAAAAGUACUAAUAAAUUUUUUUUUGCCACUGUAAAUAAAUGCUUUAAAUAAAGGAUCCAGAUACUUUCUUCAUUUUAAGAAGAAACCACUUUAGAGCCUGUGUCAUUUUGUUAUAAUUGCACAUAUUGAAGUGUUCACUGAAAAAAGAUAAUGUUGGAUUUAUUUAAUUUAAUAGUGGACAUUGGAUAAACACAGAUGCUUUGCUUUGGCAGCAACUUAAACAAUCAACUUAAAAUGAGGUGUUAAAUAUGACAAAGAUGCUUACAUAAAUCCAACACAUGGCCAGUC